GCAGGGCGUACUCAGUACGCGGGGCGUACUCGGUUACGCGGGGCGUACUUUGACGUCACUGCGUGCGUCGACUGGUGGCACUCGAGUAUUGGUCAGACAAGUUGCAUCCGACUGAGUACGCGGGGCGUAAUUGACUCGUCGAACUUCUAAAUUGCGUAACUUUCGCAUACGAGCUCCGUUUUAAACGUUCUUUAUAUCCACGUGAAGGUCAGACCAUACUCUACAACUUUCAUUUAGACUCCAUCAGCUAAUUUUGAAUUUAUUUUUUUAUUAUUUAUUUUUAGAAGGCCGGGACAGAAAAACUUCGUUAUAAAUUCAUAACUUCUUCGUUUGACGUCCGUUCUCGCCUAACUUUUUAUCGUUUCAAUACCAACAAUGAGAUCUUCGAUUCUCAUUUAGAUUGCUUCGGCUAACAACCGCUCGAUCUCAAAUCGAGUAAAACAGGCUGUAUAUCGCUAAGCCGGAACUUCGAUAAAUCAUAACUUCCUCAUACGAAGUCAGAUUUGGGCGUUCUAUAUAUAUUCGGAAACCUCGUUUCAACUACUACAACAUUAACCAAAGAUAUUAAGUUUAUUUUACACUUAAAUUUUGACGCUUAUUUUUAUUCUUAAUUAAUCAAACCACAUAAUUAAGCAAUUAAGCACAAAACACAUAAUACUCAAAUAAUACAAUCUUAUUAUUUCAAAACGGGUUACAAAGGUUAACCUAGACUAUUACAUUGCUAAAAAUGGCAAGCCCGGAAACACAGGCGUUACAAUUCUCUCCACCUUAGAAUGAUUCCGUCCCCGGAAUCACACAUCAACAAACAAAUGCGGAUAGCGACUCAACAUGUCACUCUCCGUCUCCCAGGUGAGAUUCGGCCCAUUCGUGUGUUUCCAUCGGACAAGCACUAACCCAACCAUUUUGCGUCGCAACUUCUUAGUCUUUCGGUCAACAAUUGCCUCUGGUUCUUCAAUCAACCUUUUGUUCUCAUCAAUUCUCAAUUCAGAAAUUGGAAUUAUAUCGGGAACUUCUCCCGUGAACUUCCUCAAAUAACACACAUGAAAGGUGUUGUGAAUUCCAUUCAGUUCUUCGGGUAAUUCGAGCUUGUAAGCUUGAUUCCCAAUCCUCUGAAGGACUUUAAACGGUCCAAUAAACCUUGGACUCAACUUUCCCCUUUUACCAAAUCUUAUAAGUCCCUUCCACGGCGAGACUUUAAGCAAAACCGAAUCUCCAACCUCAAAAGUCAUCGGUCUUCGCUUCUUGUCAGCAUAGCUCUUUUGACGAUCUUGAGCUGCUAACAUUCUUUCCCUAAUUAUUUUCAACUUUUCAGCAGUUUGAUGAACCAUCUCCGGUCCCAUAAACUGCUUUUCCCCAGCCUCAAGCCAACAAGACGGCGUACGACACUUCUGUCCAUACAAAGCUUGAUAAGGUGCCAUCUUAAUGCUCGAGUGAAAACUAUUAUUAUAGGAAAAUUCUACCAACGGUAAAUGUUCAUCCCAAUUACCUAGGAAUUCCAAGGUACAUGCUCUCAGCAUAUCUUCAAGUGUUUGUAUUGUUCUUUCACUCUGACCAUCAGUCUGCGGAUGGUAAGCUGUGCUUAAACAUAACUUGGUACCCAUUUCCUCUUGUAGACUUUUCCAAAACCUUGAGGUGAAACGGCUAUCACGAUCCGAUACAAUCGUUAACGGAACACCGUGAAGCCUCACAAUUUCCUUCACGUAAGAAUUCGCAAGCUUUUCCAUAGACCAUUUCUCCCUGGCCGCUAUGAAAUGCGCACUCUUAGUGAAUCGAUCAACGACCACCCAAAUCAUGUCGUGACCAUUCUUUGUUCUGGGCAGUUUAGUGACAAAAUCCAUAGCAAUGUCUUCCCACUUACCCAUAGGCACAGGCAAUGGUUCUAAACUCCCGUAAGGUUUCUGAUGUUGUGUCUUGACUCUCGCACAAGUCACACACUCGGCCACAUACUUUGCAACAUCAAGCUUCAUCGUCGGCCACCAGUAGUAGGGUUUCAGGUCCCUAUACAUUUUAGUGCUACCCGGAUGAAUUGAGUACAUGGUUUUGUGAGCUUCUUCCAUCAGAAGAUCCCUAAUUCCUCCUGACUUAGGUACCCAAAUACGAUCUUGGAAUACCUUCAGUCCAUGACCGUUAGUACCAAACACCAACGUUUUACCCAAACGUUCCUCCUUUCGGUCAUUUUUCUCAGAAGCUUCCUCUUGAGCUUUCUUUAUACUUUCCACAAUAGUCGAGACAACUUCAAUUCUCAACGCUCUUGGCCUUUUCCUUUCAAGAUUGACUUUCCGACUGAGAGCAUCAGCAACAACAUUAGCUUUACCGGGGUGGUAAAGUAUCUCGCAGUCGUAGUCUUUAAGUAAUUCUAGCCAGCGUCGUUGCCUCAUAUUCAAUUCUUUCUGAUUAAAGAGGUAUUGGAGACUCUUAUGAUCAGUGAAAAGUUUGCACUUCGUGCCAUAGAGGUAAUGCCUCCAUAUUUUCAGAGCGAAAACUACCGCUGCCAACUCCAAAUCAUGAGUCGGGUAGUUCUUUUCAUGCUCUUUCAGCUGUCGAGACGCAUAUGCUAUCACCUUUUCUCUUUGGGUCAAAACACAACCCAAUCCAACCCCAGACGCAUCGCUAUAAACAGCGAAGUCUUCAACUCCAUCGGGUAGAGAAAGUAUCGGUGCCUCGCAUAGUUUCUUCUUUAGCUUCUCGAAUGCUUCUUUAUGCUUAUCACUCCAAGCAUAAGUAGCUCCUUUGUGGGUCAAAGCUGUUAAUGGACUAGCGAUCGAAGAAAAGCCUUGGAUAAACCUUCGGUAAUAUCCGGCUAAUCCUAAAAAGCUUCGGAUCUCCGUGGGACUUUUCGGUUGUUCCCACUUCAUCACAGCUUCGAUCUUCGCUGGAUCAACCAUUAUCCCUUCUUGGUUGACCACGUGACCCAAGAAUUGGACUUCACGAAUCCAGAAAUCACAUUUGGAGAACUUCGCAUACAACUUCUCCUUCUUCAAGACUUCUAACACUUCUCGCAAGUGUCUGCCAUGCUCCUCUUGGCUUUUUGAAUAAAUCAGAAUGUCAUCUAUGAACACUAUCACAGAUUUAUCAAGGAACGGAUUACAAACUCUGUUCAUUAAAUCCAUGAAUGCUGCUGGAGCAUUGGUUAGUCCAAACGACAUAACCAAGAACUCAUAGUGUCCAUAUCGCGUUCUGAAUGCAGUCUUCUCUAUAUCCUGCUCCCUUACUUUCAGCUGAUGAUAUCCUGACCUCAGGUCGAUCUUUGAAAAAUAACUUGAACCUUGUAGUUGAUCGAAUAGGUCAUCAAUCCUCGGCAACGGAUAUCUAUUCUUUAUUGUUGCCUUAUUCAGCUCUCGGUAAUCAAUGCACAUCCUCAUGCUUCCAUCUUUCUUCUUUACGAAUAACACCGGAGCUCCCCAGGGUGAUGAACUAGGUCUAAUGAAACCUUUGUCCAAUAACUCCUGAAGUUGCAUCAUUAGCUCCUUCAUCUCCGUCGGUGCUAAUCGAUAAGGUGCUUUUGCAAUUGGCGUUGUUCCGGGCAACAAGUCGAUACGAAAUUCUACUUGUCGAUCGGGCGGUAAUCCAGGAAGAUCUUCGGGAAAUACUUCCGGAUAAUCACACACAACAGGAAUAUUUUGCAUCACCUUCUUUUCCUUCUUAGCAUCGAUCACGAAUGCUAAGUAUGAUGUACACCCCUUGGUCAAACAUUUUCUGGCUUUCAUUAGAGAAAUGAUUCCAGAGUUUACUCUGCGUUUAUCUCCGUACACCAUAAACGAUUCCUUCCCAGGCGGGUUCACUUUCACUAUUUUCUUCUUGCAUAAAAUUUCGGCAUCAUUGGCGCUAAGCCAAUCCAUUCCCAAAACGAUGUCGAAACCGUUAAGUUCGAUAGGCAAUAAUUCCUCGUGGAACUUAUUUCCAUUCAGAUCAAUUAAGAUGUUUUUCAUACGAUGGCUAACAGGUACAAACUUGCCACUAGCAACUUCGACUAAUAAAGCAUUAUCUAGUCUAUCAACAGGCAAAGCUAGUUUUCUACCAAAUUCAUGCGAUAUAAAGGAGUAGUUGGCUCCAGAAUCAAAUAAAAUUUGGGCAGGCAAUUUGUUAACGAGAAAGGUACCUGAAGCGACAUCAGCUUCAUCUUUAGCAGCUUCCAGUGUCAUCUGGAAUGCUCUCGCCUUUGGCUUUGGCGGAAUGUUGGGUCUUGCUGCUUCCUUCUUUUUCGGACAAUCCCUUGAGAUGUGCCCCUCCUCACCACAACCAUAACAAACAUUCUUGGUGAAGGUGCAGUCAUUGGCAUAAUGCCCUAGCUUUCCACAUUUGAAGCAUGUGGUUUCCCCGCCACACUUCCCAUAAUGCUUCUUCUUGCACUUGUCACACCAUUUCGCUUCUACCUUUCCUCCACUUCCCCUCGAACUAGACUUCGAGAAUUUACUUUUCUUGCUGGACCCUGAAAAUCCAUCGAUUUUCCUUUUCUCGCCAACCUCUGACCUUUCCAGACCUUUUUCCCUGAUCUGGGUCUCAACAUUUCUAGCAGCCCAGAUGGCGGCUUUCAAUGUGGUUGCUUGCUUAACCAUUGGACCAUAGUCCGCUGGUAGUCCAAGGGCAAACUUGUUGACCUUAGAGAGUUCUGUAGGCACCAAAUAUGGGAUAAACUUCAUCUUUUCUGUGAAACUUGCAGCGUAUUCAGUAACGCUCAAUUUCCCUUUCUUCAAAUUCUGAAACUCAUUACUGAUUUCCAGAAGGUCCUGCUCGGAGCAGUAUUGCAUUUUUAGUUGUUCCACAAAGUCUUCCCAAGACAUUUUGCUUGCUUCUCCCUUGGGCAUAGAGUCAGCUAACAGCUUCCACCAACUCAACACGCCAGAUUUUAGCAGAGGGAUCGCAAGAGCGGUCUUCUGCCUGUUGCUGCAUUCGCAACUUUCAAACAUAGUCUCCAUUUCGGAGACCCAGUCCAUAACUUGCACCGGCGUCGGGCUUCCGGAUAGACAUGGUGGUUUGGAUGCCAUGAAAUCCUUAUACUUGCACCCACGACCAUCAUUUCCUCCAUACUGGUUAUUGCGUCUAACCACUGGUUGUUCGUCUUGACCAAUGAUCCCACUAAAGUUUUCUCCUUCAGACUGCCCUCCAUUCUCCUCGGGCUCUUCCGCUUGAAUUGACGGUUCUUCACGAUUCUGCCUAAGCAGGCGUCUUGUUUCUUCCAUCUGACGAUCCAACAUCAUUUGAAUCAUCAUUUGUACACCAGCCAUUGUUAUCGGCUCAGGUGCAUCAGCUACGACAGGUACUUGUUGAAUUACAGGCGGUUGAUUCCUGUUUUCAUCAGCAUUUCCAACUCCGCUUCUUGUUCUCACCAUUUUUGAUCUACACACCGAAUAAUUUCACCUUAUUACUCCAAACGAUUACAUGCUAGUUCUAAUAUCGUAUACAUACGCUUAGAAUCCUAAACACAUAAACCUUCAGAUCCGGUUGGCAACAAACCGUAGAUCCGAACAAAUAAUAUCAUAUAUGGCAACAUAUAACAUUUAGCACAUAAAAGCAUUUUAGGCAACUUUCCUAAAAUAAACUAGUGCUCGUGUCUAAAAUUUAUCAGACACACAUCUCACAAUCUCCACUUAGCAUACUAAGUUUAAGUCUAGAAAUCCUACAAAUUCCUAGUUCGCUUAAACUAAUGCUCUGAUACCAACUGUGACAUCCCCAAAAUCUCGGCCAGAAAAGACCGAUUUCAUUUAUGCUUUUUAAAACAUUUUCAGAGUAAAUCCGUUUGAUUUUAAAAGAGAUGCGGAAUUUGUUCCCAAAAACAAAACAUGAUAAAAUAGAUAUUUAUCAAAACAUUUCAUAUAGAAAUAUGAUUUCAUUUCAUAAUCAAAAGUCGGGAUGUCAUGUUCCGAUACAGAUCAUAAAGCAUAAACGAUAACAUUACAAGUCGUUCAACAAAUAUAUACAUAUACAGACUUGUAAACAAAAACAACUUGAUGAUUCGCCCAUCUUAAGCUCUUGCGCCACUUCCUGUAAUACAAAUCAACUGAGUGGGUCAGGCUUGGGAGCCUGGUGAGCAUAUAGGGUUUUCAAACCCACAAUAAUUAUAUUUAAUUACAACAAUCAACAAUAAACCCGAUUACCCAUUCCCGUUAUCCUCACCUUACGUUCCUAAAAAUAACGUCUAUUAUAAGGAACUUAUUUCAGGAUUUUCAUCGGGACGGACAUUACUGCAGAGGGGCUUCCUCAACAAUAAGUGUCCUAAAGGCAACCAUGUGGGGGAUAGAGUACACCGGUGAACACGUCGUUCACAACACCUACAGGUAAUGAGCCUGCUAGUGUUCCACAGGACAGUCUAGAAUAGUCCGUGGUCGUCAUCCAUACUCUGCUGAAUGACUAGAAUAACACCAAUAACACCGAGGCCUCUCAUCUGUUUAUUUCACACCAAUUAUCUACCCAUGUUCUACCCAACAUAUUAGUAGAUAAAAAUAUACAUUUUUAUACAUUGUUUAAAAACCUGUAUAGCAUGCUUUAAUCAAUACAUAUUCCACAUAACAGAUGAGGCAUACACACAUAACACGUAUUUCAUAGAGAAUAUACAUUCACACAUAUAACCACAAAAUAUAUACACGUAGCACGUAUUUUAUAUUAAAUACUUCAUAAUAUUGCGUUUUGAAAAGGGACUAUACACUCACUUGAUCAGAAGAUGAUCCGACAGCACUACGGCUUAUAGAAGUAGCGUCUCUUCGUAGAUCUGGAAGAUCUUCACAAAAACCGGCUCCUCGCGGGCAGGGCUUCGGCUCGGGAAUAACGCUCUUCGGGAUUCUCGGGGCUUCGGAUCUCGCUUCGGGGCUCGGGAAUGAUACCGGGGCUUCGGGAUAUGAUUGGCACGCAAAUCGAGGCAAAACUUAGAGAGAGGGAAGAGUUUGAACAAGAGAAAAUGGCUGAAUUCGAGUUCUAUUUAUAGGCUGAGGGUCUGGGAUUACGCGGGGCGUAAUCUCAAAUUACGCAGGGCGUACUCAGUACGCGGGGCGUACUCGGUUACGCGGGGCGUACUUUGACGUCACUGCGUGCGUCGACUGGUGGCACUCGAGUAUUGGUCAGACAAGUUGCAUCCGACUGAGUACGCGGGGCGUAAUUGACUCGUCGAACUUCUAAAUUGCGUAACUUUCGCAUACGAGCUCCGUUUUAAACGUUCUUUAUAUCCACGUGAAGGUCAGACCAUACUCUACA
rnacentral:lncRNA from 1 species